GUUUCAACUUUUAAGCAAGACAGGCAUUGAAAGAAAAAAUUUGUGUUGCUGUGUGGAUUUAUUUAUCAAUCUAUGAGGAAACAGAAAAGCCUCCGGGUGAUCCAUCUAAGUAUGUAUUCCUUCAUUGCUUUUGCAUUUAGAUUUUAUAAAAUGUAAUUGCAGGAGAUGGAAAGAUUAAAGGGGACAUUUAUGGAGUGUCUAAAACUACUGUAGUUGAAAAAGUAUGGGUUGUUGCUCAAGCAAUCGGAGACAUCGCUUUUGCUUUCACAUACAACAUUAUUCUUUUGGAGAUAGAGCUAAAAAAGUAAACCACAAACUUUCGAGAUGAAGGACACCCUGAAGUCGCCACCACCAGAAAAUCAGACCAUGAAGAAGGCCUCUACAGCAGCUAUUCUUCUUACUACCACCCUCUAUCUUUGCUGUGCUUGUUUCGGGUAUGCAGCCUUCGGCGACCAAACACCUGGAAAUCUGUUGACUGGCUUUGGAUUCUAUGAACCGUAUUGGCUUGUUGACUUUGCUAACGCAUGUGUCGUUCUUCAUCUCAUUGGAGGAUAUCAGGUGUACAGUCAGCCAUUAUUUGCUGAAGCAGAAAGAUAGAUAACAAAGAAACUCCCCGACAAUGAAUUUGUCAACAAUGUUUAC